rnacentral:rRNA from 1 species
UGGGGAAUAUUGCACAAUGGGCGCAAGCCUGAUGCAGCCAUGCCGCGUGUAUGAAGAAGGCCUUCGGGUUGUAAAGUACUUUCAGUCGGGAGGAAGGUGUCAAGGUUAAUAACCUUGGCAAUUGACGAUACCGACAGAAGAAGCACCGGCUAACUCCGUGCCAGCAGCCGCGGUAAUACGGAGGGUGCAAGCGUUAAUCGGAAUUACUGGGCGUAAAGCGCACGCAGGCGGUUGAUUGAGUCAGAUGUGAAAUCCCCGGGCUUAACCCGGGAAUUGCAUCUGAUACUGGUCAGCUAGAGUCUUGUAGAGGGGGGUAGAAUUCCAUGUGUAGCGGUGAAAUGCGUAGAGAUGUGGAGGAAUACCGGUGGCGAAGGCGGCCCCCUGGACAAAGACUGACGCUCAGGUGCGAAAGCGUGGGGAGCAAACAGG